UUUUCUAUUUUUAUAUCCUCUGCUAUUUGUAACUUUCCCUCUUAUUGCAAAACCAAUUGAACAACUGAACAUAAAAUUUCUCUUUUCAACCUGGAAUUUGCUAGUCUUGUUCCACUUCGAUUCAGUUCACCGAUCUUCAUUGCUUCCUCUUUUGGAUCCGCUUCAUUCGCGUUCAAACCAACGACUAAUCAUAACUCUUCUACCGGAUCCCUCAUUUUUUCCCUUUCCUUUCUGCGUUUAAUUCAUAUCGGAGAAGGAGAGAGAGAAACUGCGACAUGAACAAAGCGACUCUUCCGUUGACGUUAAUUGGCGAUGGAGACGGUGACCGAAAGGUGACUAAGGUGGCGGAGCCCGGUGACCUCGUCAUUGCGCUUCACGUCCUCAACACCAUCACUGGUUUCUCUCUCUUUCUCUCGCUUCUCUCUCUCUCUCUCUCUCUAACGUUUUUCUUAAUCUGAAUUGGUGACUGCAACAGAAAUUCACUCAAUUAGGGUUUUAUACAUCGGUUCAUUAAUUAUCUCAAUUUUUAAAAUUAUUGUGAUUAUUAUUCGAAAUUUGAAGUGACCAUAUGUAUUCAUGGCAUCAAGUUUCUUUAACACUAAUGAAGAAGUUCAGGAAUCUGCACAGGUAUCAAUUUACGCAUUUAUCAUCACCUUUGUUCGAUUUUUCAUUCAAUUAGCUUGUGCGUUUAUGUAAUUUGUAAUUUAUUUGGUUCUGAAGUAGAAGUUACUUAAUUUGUGCCUUUUUCUACUCUAUUGUAUUUUGAAUACAAAGAAUUUAGAAGCUUGGAAGUUCUACGUUUAUUUUCAUGUAUUAGGCUUGCGAAGAGUAAAAAAAAGUGAGUUUGUUCUGAGAUACAAUAUAGCUCUGUUUGCAGGUCAUGCCAUUGGGGCAAAUCCUGCAAUUCCUAGAAUGUUUCCAAAUAUGUUUCCACUGGUUAUAAGUCAGAGAAAGUCACAAACAGAAGGCUGAUUGCAGUCAUGAAAUUGUCUCUUGACAAGUCUGCCCAAGGAGAAAGAAUUUCUGACAUAAGCAAGAAUGGUCAUAUUGCUUCCUACAGGUUAAUGACUUUGUGUGCUUAUCAGACAUUGCUUAUGUUAGUGAACAAGUGUUGAUGAUGGAGAAAACAAUUCUUAGGAAGCUUGAAUAGUACUUAACAGUUCCAACAUCCUAUGUCUUACUUGGUUUGGUAUAUCAAAGGCUCCACUCCACCUGUUAAAGAGAUGGAACACAUGGCAUUUUUCCUUGCUGAAGUUUCUUUGAUCCACAAUCCUACUGUAAUCUUUUACUGGCCCUUCUCUAAUCGCUGCUUCUGCUGUAUUGAUGGCUCAGUGUACCCUAGGAAUGAGCCCUUUCGGGACAAGCACUUUGAAGCACUAUACUGGUUACACUGAGGAGCAACUAAGCGUUUGUGCCAAAAUCACGGUCAACCUUCAUGCUGCUGCUGCUCCAGGAAGUAAGCUUAGGGCAGUUUUCAAGAAAUUCUGUAGCUUGGAUCUUUGUGCUGUUGCUCUUCUUUCUCCAGGGAAGAACUUGUCAACACUGUCUUGAAAUUCUAGUUUAGGUUUGUCUAGGGAGACAAACCUAAACUAGAAUUUCAAGACAGAGCUCAUUUUCUUUUUUCCUAAUUGAGUGUUGCCACAACCUUUGGUGCUAUGUACCUUUUGUGACACUGAUUGAGCAUCUGAUCCUGAUGACCAUUGCUCUACUUCAUGGGCUGAUGUCUAUUUAGGACCUGCUACAAUUUCUGGGGGUUCAACGAAACAAACAGUUGUAGCCAGAAGCACAGCUGAAGAAGCAGAAUAUUGUAGUUUGGCUCAAUUUACUACUGAGCUACUUUGGUAUCAAACUCUCCUUCGAAUUGCUAGCUCCUUUCUGUUACUCAACCUACUCUGUUUUUUAUGACAAUCAGAAUAUUGUUUCUCUCACAAUCCUAUACUGCAUGCCAAGACCAAGCAUAUGGAAUACCAUUUCUCUUUAGUUUCAAUUGUAUAUUUUUAGUCCUAGGAUUAGUCUAAGCUCUGUGCUAUAUAUAGUUUGUACACACAGUAGCUUAGCACCUUUUGUACAUUUUACGGAAAUCAAUAAUACAAAUCUUUCAGAUUCUCUUCA